GGAGAGAUGGCAGAGUGGUCGAAUGCGGCAGACUCGAAAUCUGUUGUACCCAUCGGGUACCGGGGGUUCGAAUCCCUCUCUCUCCGCCA
rnacentral:tRNA from 2 species